CAGCCGCCGCGGGAAUACGAAGGGGGCUAGCGUUGCUCGGAAUGACUGGGCGUAAAGCGUGCGCAGGCGGUUCGUUAAGACAGAUGUGAAAUCCCCGAGCUUAACUCGGGAACAGCAUUUGAAACUGGCAGGCUAGAGUCUCGUAGAGGGGGGUAGAAUUCCAGGUGUAGCGGUGAAAUGCGUAGAGAUCUGGAGGAAUACCGGUGGCGAAGGCGGCCCCCUGGACGAAGACUGACGCUCAGGUACGAAAGCGUGGGGAGCAAACAGGAUUAGAUACCCGAGUAGUCCCUGUCUCUUAUAC
rnacentral:rRNA from 1 species